rnacentral:lncRNA from 1 species
CCCAACCCCUGGCCUGGAGCCAAAGGGACGGGAUCUUAGGCCCCAGGACGCAGUCUGCACACCCCUAACCCCGCUUCACCGUCUGGUCUGCGCAGGGCAGAAGGCUCACUCCCCACCUGACAGGCCACUCCAGCCUUUCCAGACUGUGCUGUCAGGGAGACCCAGCCCUGCCCUCACUCCGGGAUGGGGCUUCCUGGCAGGUGGUCCCAGGAUUCCGAUUCCCAGCUCCCGACAAGAUCUCUGUGAUGUCCCCAGCUGUCCCCUGUCACUCGUGGCAGGAGAAACGCUGAUUCCCUCACACUCUGCUCCUGGUUAUGAUUUCUUUCUUUUUUUCUUUUUUUGGAGAUGGAGUCUCACCCUGUUGCUCAGGCUGGAGUGCAGUGGCACCAUCUGGGCUCACUGCAACCUCCUCCGCCUCCCAGGUUCAAGUGAUUCUCCUGCCUCAGCCUCCCAAGUAGCUGGGAUUACAGGCAUGCCCCCACCACACCCGGUUAAUUUUUUGUAUUUUUAGUAGAGAUGGUUUAGCCACAAUAGUCUUUUUUGUUUUUUUUUUGAUACCGAGUCUCGCACUGUCACCCAGGCUGGAGUGCAGUGGCGCGAUCUCGGCUCACUGCAACCUCCGCCUCCCGGGUUCACGCCAUU